rnacentral:rRNA from 1 species
AUGACAACAACAAUGAUGACCACCAUCAGCUUCUCUGCCAUUCUAUUCAUCUUGCUUUCUGUGGCAAUCACUGCUGAGACCAAUGACUCUGGUAGUGGCAUGGCGAGGGUGACCAACGUCAUGGUGGAAGCAUGCAAGAAUGCCUCAGGCUAUCAUCGUGAGCUUAAAACUAUGACACAUGAAUUUUGCUUGUCGACCCUCCGGUCAGACAAUAGGAGUGUGGAGGCAAAGGACCACCUUGAACUGGUGCUAGUUGCCAUCGACAUCCUUAAAGGCCGCCUCACCACUGCCAAUCACAACAUUGAGAAAAUGCUAGAAAAAGCAAAGAAUGGCACGGUGCCAAUGCGCGAUCUUAGUAUUUGCAAGGUGUACUAUGAUACAACAAUGAGAAUCGUCAAUAUAUGUGAUGACAUGGUCAAAGAUUUCCGCGGAGAUAAGGGCAGGCUAAAGUCCUUUGAGCUUCCUCGUUGUGUUGACAGAGCGGGCUACCCAGUUGACGAGUGCUGGUUCGGUCUUCAAUUCGAUAUGCCAUGGGCGGAUGCAUUGAUGAGUGAAAAUCGUGAGAUUGACAUGGUGGUCAACCUCGACUAUGCCUUCCUAGCACCAUAUGAUGUCAGUGAUUAA